CCCUUAGAUGUCCGGGGCCGCACGCGCGCUACACUGAAGGAAUCAGCGUGGCUUUCUCCCUGACCCGAAAGGGUUGGGAAACCCGUUGAAUCUCCUUCGUGAUAGGGAUUGGGGCUUGAAAUUGUUCCCCAUGAACGAGGAAUUCCCAGUAAGCGCGAGUCAUAAGCUCGCGUUGAUUACGUCCCUGCCCUUUGUACACACCGCCCGUAGCUACUACCGAUUGAACGGUUUAGUGAGGGCCUCGGAUUGGUCUCGGCCCGCUCUUUACCGGGCGGCGCCGUUGGUCGAGAAGACGCUCGAACUUGAUCGUUUAGAGGAAGUAAAAGUCGUAACA
rnacentral:rRNA from 1 species